GGGGAAUAUUGGACAAUGGGGGGAACCCUGAUCCAGCCAUGCCGCGUGUGUGAAGAAGGCCUUAUGGUUGUAAAGCACUUUAAACGAGGAGGAGGCUCUUUUGGUUAAUACCCAAGAUGAGUGGACGUUACUCGCAGAAUAAGCACCGGCUAACUCUGUGCCAGCAGCCGCGGUAAUACAGAGGGUGCGAGCGUUAAUCGGAUUUACUGGGCGUAAAGCGUACGUAGGCGGCUUUUUAAGUCGGAUGUGAAAUCCCUGAGCUUAACUUAGGAAUUGCAUUCGAUACUGGGAAGCUAGAGUAUGGGAGAGGAUGGUAGAAUUCCAGGUGUAGCGGUGAAAUGCGUAGAGAUCUGGAGGAAUACCGAUGGCGAAGCCAGCCAUCUGGCCUAAUACUGACGCUGAGGUACGAAAGCAUGGGGAGCAAAC
rnacentral:rRNA from 1 species